UACACAGAAGGGAAAGGAAAGCAGGAAUGUGAAGGAGUAAAAGAGGACAUAAGUGAGAAACGUGGGAGGCCUUCUACAGAGCACAGCUUUCUUGGAUCUUCUGUAUGCUACGGUGGACCAGAUGAGUAUUAUGGCUGUGUCAAAGAAAGAAAUGAACCUAUAAAUAUGAAUAAAAUUGGAGUAAGGAAACUGGAAGAGACAGCAGACCCAUCUAAUCUUGAAUAUGCAACAAGGGGAGAUUGGUGGAAAGGUUCUCUCCACUACUAAAAAAUUAUGGAGCAUCUCAUUUCCAGUUUCUUCCAUAAAGUUCAGGCAGUGUGUACAAUGGUAAAGCUGGACUAAGUACCGACAUCGAUCAGGCGUGGAAUAUGAUAUCCAUAUCAUUAUCUUUCAGUGGGAUGUAAAUAAGCAAAUAAGGAUAACGAAUGAUACUAUAUACGGCUAGGUGUUUCUCCACAUAAAUAAAGUGGAAUCUCAAACAAAAAAAGUCUUUUUCACAUCACCCAUAAUCCUUUUUUUUUUAUGUUACAUGGUAUCUUAACUCUUACCCACAAAAUGCUUUCUCUGUAAACAAGUAUGGUUUAUGUAAAUACUAUGCGCAU